GUUGGCUGCAGGUUUGUGGUGCUCUCUGAGGCGUCUGUCCUGCGCCAAGAUGCUUCAAAGUAUUAUUAAAAAUGUGUGGAUCCCCAUGACACCCUACUACACCCAAGUUUACCAGGAGAUUUGGAUAGGAAUGGGGCCGAUGGGCUUCAUCGUUUAUAAAAUCCGGGCCGCUGAUAAAAGAAGUAAGGCUUUGAAAGCUUCGGCGCCUGCUCCUGGUCAUCGCUAACCAGAUUUACUUGGAGUACAUGUGAAAGAAAACAUCAGUCCGCCUGUAAAUUUAAGCAAGCCGUAUUAGAUGGGUAGCGUGGAACGUCCCUCUACACUUGUAUAAGUACCAUUUACUUCACGGCAUGAAUAAAUGGAUCUGUGAGAUGCAAAAAAAAAAGAA